GAUGAACGCUAGCUACAGGCUUAACACAUGCAAGUCGAGGGGCAGCGCAGUGUAGCAAUACAUGGGCGGCGACCGGCGCACGGGUGCGUAACGCGUGUCCAACCUUCCCGUUACUCAGGGAUAGCCUUCCGAAAGGGAGAUUAAUACCUGAUGGUAUCAGAAUUUCGCAUGUUAUUCUGAUUAAAGAUUUAUCGGUAACGGAUGGAGAUGCGUGACAUUAGGUAGAUGGCGGGGUAACGGCCCACCAUGCCUACGAUGUCUAGGGGUUCUGAGAGGAAGGUCCCCCACACUGGAACUGAGACACGGUCCAGACUCCUACGGGAGGCAGCAGUGAGGAAUAUUGGUCAAUGGGCGCAAGCCUGAACCAGCCAAGUAGCGUGAAGGAUGACUGCCCUACGGGUUGUAAACCUCUUUUGUCGGGGAAUAAACUGCGCCACGCGUGGCGCCCUGCAUGUACCCGCAGAAUAAGGACCGGCUAAUUCCGUGCCAGCA
rnacentral:rRNA from 1 species